UGCCAUGAGCUCAAGUACCAA
rnacentral:piRNA from 1 species